AGGAGUGGAGGAACUUUUAAGGCAAGGAACUUUUCUGUAGAACUGCAGGCUACUGCCAGUUGGUUUGCAAGAAGGCAAAGGUGGAGGCUGCCCUUGUGCUGAGACUGGAAGGGAACCAGCGCUUUGCCAGGCAGGACUCGUGCAGCGUGAACCCGAAGCAGAUGAGGCACGAACAGAUGGUCAGGCUGAAUUUCAGCAGGAAGCAGAAGAGGAAGUAGUGCUGGGUCUGUGGAUAAGGGAGAGGCAGGAGAGUGACACGGGCACGUCACCGGCCCAACCUCCCCGCCGGGAACCAUCAGAGGCUGCAGUACAGAUUUGGGAUGUUGUGCUGUGGACCUGUCCUGCAGGCAUAGUGGUACUAAGGGAUUCCCUUCGUGACCAUGAUGAGAUUUGGCUAGUGUGGCUCAUGCCAUGGAUCAGUUUCCCAAGGGAGCUGGGAAGCCAUCUUAGCACAAGGCCCCAGCUACGCAUCAACAUGGGAACAAAGCAGAAGAGAAGAAAGGAUGAACAAUUCUUAUCAGACGGGCUACCUACCUUCUUAGGAAUGGAAGUCAAAUUUUUCCCUGUUGCCAUGGUCAUGAUGGAGCUGUGGGGAGGCUUGCCCAGGAGUGAGAUGCUGGAGAAAGGGAAGUUAGUAUUUACCAACACGUUCAGGCACCACAACUGCUUUCUGGGCUAACAUUUGAAGCCAAAGAACCUCCUCUGAGUGGAGCACUGGCACUUGUCUGACCACUGCUUGAGCUGUGCUUGUAUCCCACUCCCUGAAGCAUGUGCUGUGCAAGUUCUCAUGUAUGGCAAGUGUAGCCAGGGAGAGGUAACUUCCAACUGUGUGAGGGGGAAAAUCUACCUAUGGUAUAUAUCGACCUCUGCCUGCCACCCUGUGCUCUCCAUCCCACCCCAGCCAGUGCAACAGUGUCAAAAUCAGAAAAUGAUUCUCAGCUGGAGGCUCAAACAAGAUAAUAGCAGCUCUCAGACAGCAGGCAGGGCUAACAGCACUACACAAAUGAUCCUAUCUGUUUCCAAGCACCUUGUCAAAGCGGAUGCUUAAAAUAACCCUUGCAGCCUCCUUAGCAUGCUGUGAGCAGUGUCAGUUUCCUUCUACCAUGGCCCUGGUGAGGCUGAGGGACAGGUCUGUGUAUCCUGUGGGCAGGAGAUUCCACCCUGCCUCAUACUCACCUGAGCAGUGGGUAGCAGAAACAGGAGAGCCACACGAUGUCCGUGGUACUGAGAAUGGGGGGCAGCUGUACCAGGCAGGAGAGGAACUGGAUGGGAACAAUCCGGAGUGAAGAGCAUGAGCAGUGUGGGAUGGUCCUGGUACCCCAGCUGCCACCAUCCUCCUCCCAAACACUGGGGUGAGCUGGUAACGAGGCUGCUGCUGCACGGCCCCUCCACCUGUUUCAGGGUGCUGGGGCAGGGAUGCUUUUCUCCAGGGAAAAAGGGAUCAGAGAAACCUCUGCAGGAGGGUGAGGGAGAAGGGACAAUGUAGGCUGGGAUCUCAGUUUCUAACUUUUCCCAAAUGUGCUGUGUAAACCUGCCUGAAGGCUGCUGCCCCACUACAGCCACCCAUUAUCCUUGUUAGCACUCCUGUCCUGUGACCUAAAUGCUGUCCACAGCCAGGCUGGACUCACCUGAAUGACAACCAAGGUCAGCUGGCACUGCAGCAAGAAGAGGAAACACUUGCGGAUCCCAUAUGUUGCGUGCCGUGCCUGGAAGGAAGCACAAACCCUCAGAGCCCUCGCUGAUGGGAGCAGUUAUCAGCCAAGAGCAAUUAUUGGCAGGCAGGGGCAGAACACGUGGCCUGGGGGGGAAGUGGGAGGGGAGAGCAUCUGGACACAGUGUAAGCAAAAGGGGAAGGUCUCCUGCUUAGAUACAGGGAUGAUAGAAGGGCAGAAUUUAACCAAGGGGUAAGUUAGUUUAAACCCCCUGGAUCUUCUGGGGUAACACUUCUCUAGUACUGAUAUUUUCCAGGUAGGGAUCUCUGAGUUUCUACUUAAUCCAGUUGAAUGAUAUUUGUGCCCUGGUGCAACAAGGUACUGUUCCCAACGUCCCUUACACCUUGGACUGCUAGGAGCAGGCAGGAAGAGUAUCUCUUGUGUUUCCUGAACAAAGGACAGGAGACCCAAGCAAACCUGCUGUGGGCAGCUCAACGAGAAUGCUCACGUGGGCUCCUGGCUGUGCUCCUCAUGAGCUAUAGGCAGUGGGGUGUAGGCAAGAGACAGAACUAGAAGGGGGGUGUGCCUGGCUCACCUGCUCUAUAAGCCUGAUGAUGCUGGUACUCUCUUCUUGGCGGAAGGACAUGGAGCAAGGCAGGCUGUUGAGCUGCCCUGAAAGCUGCAGGGGGGUGAGCUCAUCAGAGGCCUGAGUCAUGGUGGUGCUGGUGGCGUAGCCAAAGGUCUCCCAGGAGCAGCGGGAUGGGUAGAGAGGGUCCAGUGCUAUACUGCAUGGACAACAUAGGAGUGUUAAGGAAAGACCUCAUCCUGGAGGAGAAGCCAUGCUCUGCUGCAAUCCUGCCUGUAAAGUCAUGCAGUGCCAUCUCUGUCUGCCUUGCUGGUACAGAAGUUCUGAGCUGGGAUGUGAAUUUAGGAUCAAUCUCCCCUAGAUGUUAUUUCCAGAUAAAUACUGAACAUAUUUGGGUGUGUGGCUCUAGGUGCACAAAUUGGUUGAUCCAGCAGGGAGCUGCCAUUAUUUUGCCCAAACAAGAAUUCCAGUUGGUGCACAAUACUUCAGCAUAUAAGGGUAACAGCUUCCUUUCAAAGAUGUAGAGAAAUCUGUGUGUCAAGGGAUCUAGGUGGUCAUUCCACUUAAAAAAAAAUCCCAUCCAACACCAUCCAAAUGUCCCUUACACACCCACCUAAUGAUAACACAAACUGCGAGCAUCCCCCUGCACAGUCACCAAGCCUGCUGUGUCCCAUGGCUGGGCACACCAAGGCAGCUGGAAGACUGCGUCCUGCCCCACCUGAUAUCACUCUGCAGGAAGAGGCAGCUGUUCCGCAGGUUGGCAGAGCUCCCCAGGCAGCAAGUCACCUCCCCGUAUUCCUGCAUGAUCUUGAUCAUCUCACACAUGGCUGCAAGGGGACAGAAGGAGAAGCACAGUGCGUUAUCUCUAUGCUCGCAGGCUUUGUGUAUGCUUUCCAGUCUGGAUAGCAAGCAGUCGUCUUUUAAAAUGACCCCAGUCAGUAUUCCUCAGAUAUGUGUAGUCAGACCCAAAGUCAGAGGGCACAAUCAGAUUGCUAAUUAAUUGCAGUCCAAGCGCCCGAUGUACCUGCCUUCUGCAGGAGCUGAGCUGUGAUCCCCAGAAGUGUGACCCAGAGACCUGCACCUCUAGCAUGUCUCCUUCAGACCAGAGCUCUGGGUGUGUAACACAGAUGGCUUCAGCAUCAAAGGGUCUUGUUAGAAAACCGUAGAAAUUAAACUUAGUUGAAUAACCCAAAUCUGAAAAAAAUACACUUUCUAGUUCUUCUCAGCAGCACUUUGCUGCUGUUCCAAGUCUGAAGGAACAAAGGAAAUAAAACAAAGUACUCCAAAAGCAGUGCCAUACUUAGUCCUGUUCAGAGCCAGCCACUGUUCCUCCACUCCCAGCCUGACCUCUACCCCUCAUCAAUCUUUUUAUUAACAUCCUCCUGAGGACUCUAAAUCAAAGCUGUUGUUUGAUCCAAUUUUUCUUCCGUAGCUCUGUGCACAGCACUCUGUGGAUAUACAUGAGUUCUCUAGAAUAGUCUAGGUGCACAAAAAAAAAAACACCCUCUGCAGAUUCCUGUGUAAACAAUUUAUUCAAGUGACUGGUGUACCCAGAUCUGCAGCACAGCAAGGGGUUGGAUGGAGUGGGGAAGUGCCACCUCUGUCAGGCAAAGGAAAUUUACUGGGCACUGAAUAGCCAGGCAGACUGGUUUGUAGCUGGUUCUCACUGGCACUCCUGUAAGCUGUGCCCACAGGUGCCUAAAAUGCCAAAUCGAUUCUUAGCACUUUUACUGGAGGCUGGACAGGUAUUAGCCAGCUAAGCACUCAGCCCCUUUAGCUAAAAUAGCAUUUCUCAGAAAGAAAUUCUGUCAAUUUUGCUCUCUGCAAUCAAAAGCUCUGCACAGCAACAGAAGGUGCUAACAGCAACUGCCAGAGAAAAAUACUUCUGGGAAGUGACUUCUGAGUUAUAUAAUAAGGAAGCGAGGGUUGCAAGCAGAGAUCAAAGUCUCCUGGCACACUGAUAACACUUAAUAACAGGCAUUGUGGAUGUUUGCUUUUGUCUCUUAUGAAUGCAAAUUGAAAAUGGAGUGGCUCUCAGCCCAAUUCUGUAGCUAAGGAACAGUUGUACUGAAGUAAAGGUUGCCUCCCCGCAGGUAGCAAUAGAGGGCCGUUACUACCAAAA